rnacentral:tRNA from 1 species
GAGAAUUUAGGUUAAUAUUUAGACCAAAAGCCUUCAAAGCUUUAAGUAGAAGUAAAAAUCUUCUAAUUCUUG